CAUGAAACAAAAACUGGAAAACGCCUAGGUGAUGAAAGGGAGUUUGUUGUCAUAGACGAGAGCAACUUUCGCCAUAAACGAAAGUAUGGUCGUGGGAGAAUAUCCAACAGUUGGAGGCGCAAGAACUGGGUUUUUGGAAUGCUUGGAGUAAAAGGAAAACAUCGAAGACCUUUACUGAAGCUGGUGAAGAGGAGGUCCCGCAACCAUUUACUUCCAUUGGUGGUGAAGCAUGUACGCCCUGGGACAGUAAUCAUUAGUGAUGAGUGGAGGGCAUAUAGGGGCGCUCUCACCAAUUUGGGUUACACACACUUCACCGUGAAUCAUUCAAGGUGGUUUGUUGAUCCUGUUACUGGAGCUCACACUCAGCAGCUAGAGAGGGCAUGGUUAACAUACAAAUCAAUAAUUUGGCGGCUUAGGGGAAACAGAACUGAGAAACUUUUGAAAGAACAUCUUGCAGUUAUAGAAUGGACUUACUGGCUUGGAAACAGGCAUAGGAAAGGACCUCUUGGUCGUUUACUGAAAGACAUUCGGGUCACGUUUCCCUGAGAGCUGACUGGCUUCAGAUAUAAAGAACAUGGUUGUGUCAAGAUGGUGCACUGUGUGUGCCUCUCAUCAAUUAUUACAUAUGAGUCAUAGACCUUAGGAGUUACUAUACACUUUAAAGGAAAUUUUGUCUCAGGAGGUAGAGAAGUCAAAUUGUUUAGUGAUUGAGUGUAUUUACCUAUUUUAGUGUUUUCUGUUUUUUGUGGUUCAGUUGAAAUAACAACUGAUUUAACAAUAUAAAAUUAUUGGGGUUUCCAAAUGUGACAAAUGUUAUUGUUUUUUUAUGUGACAUGGUAUGUGAAACUUAAAUCUUGUUGGCUUUAGAGUAUGAAUUAAAGUUUGUUAAUAUCA